rnacentral:rRNA from 1 species
UACGUAGGGGGCAAGCGUUGUCCGGAGUUACUGGGCGUAAAGCGCACGCAGGCGGUCUCUUAAGUUUGGAGUGACAGUUGGUGGCUUAACUGCCAAAGUGCUUCGAAAACUGAGAGACUUGAGGGCUUCAGAGGGACACGGAAUUCCGGGUGGAGUGGUGAAAUGCGUAGAGAUCCGGAGGAACACUAAAGGCGAAGGCAGUGUCCUGGGGAGUACCUGACGCUCAGGUGCGAAAGCCAGGGGAGCGAACGGG